CCUACGGGAGGCAGCAGUGGGGAAUAUUGGACAAUGGGGGGAACCCUGAUCCAGCGACGCCGCGUGAGUGAAGAAGUAUUUCGGUAUGUAAAGCUCUAUCAGCAGGGAAGAAAGAAAUGACGGUACCUGACUAAGAAGCCCCGGCUAACUACGUGCCAGCAGCCGCGGUAAUACGUAGGGGGCAAGCGUUAUCCGGAUUUACUGGGUGUAAAGGGAGCGUAGACGGCGAUGCAAGUCUGAAGUGAAAGGCGGGGGCCCAACCCCCGGACUGCUUUGGAAACUGUAUGGCUGGAGGGCAGGAGAGGUAAGUGGAAUUCCUAGUGUAGCGGUGAAAUGCGUAGAUAUUAGGAGGAACACCAGUGGCGAAGGCGGCUUACUGAACUGUAACUGACGUUGAGGCUCGAAAGCGUGGGGAGCAAACAGGAUUAGAUACCCCAGUAGUC
rnacentral:rRNA from 1 species